rnacentral:rRNA from 1 species
UUGCCUCAGUAACGGCGAGUGAAGCGGCAACAGCUCAAAUUUGAAAUCUGGCCGUUCGGCGGUCCGAGUUGUAAUUUGUAGAGGAUGCUUCGGGUGCGGCGCCGGUCUAAGUUCCUUGGAACAGGACGUCAUAGAGGGUGAGAAUCCCGUAUGUGACCGGCGACCUGGCCCGUGUGAAGCUCCUUCAACGAGUCGAGUUGUUUGGGAAUGCAGCUCUAAGCGGGUGGUAAAUUUCAUCUAAAGCUAAAUACCGGCCAGAGACCGAUAGCGCACAAGUAGAGUGAUCGAAAGAUGAAAAGCACUUUGGAAAGAGAGUUAAAAAGUACGUGAAAUUGUUGAAAGGGAAGCGCUUGCGACCAGACUUGCUCACGGGCGAUCAGCCGUCCUUCUGGGCGGUGCACUCGCCGGUGAUCAGGCCAGCAUCGGUUCAGGCGGCCGGAUAAAGGCCCCGGGAACGUGGCUCCCCUCGGGGAGUGUUAUAGCCCGGGGUGCAAUGCGGCCCGCCGGGACCGAGGACCGCGCUUCGGCUAGGAUGCUGGCGUAAUGGUCGUAAGCGACCCGUCUUGAAACACGGACCAAGGAGUCUAACAUCUGUGCGAGUGUUUGGGUGUCAAACCCAUGCGCGGAAUGAAAGUGAACGGAGGUGGGAACCCUUCAGGGUGCACCAUCGACCGAUCCUGAUGUCUUCGGAUGGAUUUGAGUAAGAGCAUAGCUGUUGGGACCCGAAAGAUGGUGAACUAUGCCUGAAUAGGGUGAAGCCAGAGGAAACUCUGGUGGAGGCUCGCAGCGGUUCUGACGUGCAAAUCGAUCGUCAAAUUUGGGUAUAGGGGCGAAAGACUA